GACGAACGCUGGCGGCGUGCCUAAUACAUGCAAGUCGAGCGAAGUUUUUCUGGUGCUUGCACUAGAAAAACUUAGCGGCGAACGGGUGAGUAACACGUAAAGAACCUGCCUCAUAGACUGGGACAACUAUUGGAAACGAUAGCUAAUACCGGAUAACAGUAUUUCUCGCAUGAGAGAUAUUUAAAAGUUGGUUAUGCUAACACUAUGAGAUGGCUUUGCGGUGCAUUAGCUAGUUGGUGGGGUAAAGGCCCACCAAGGCGACGAUGCAUAGCCGACCUGAGAGGGUAAUCGGCCACACUGGGACUGAGACACGGCCCAGACUCCUACGGGAGGCAGCAGUAGGGAAUCUUCCGCAAUGGGCGAAAGCCUGACGGAGCAACGCCGCGUGAGUGAAGAAGGAUUUCGGUUCGUAAAGCUCUGUUGUUAGGGAAGAAUGGAUAUGUAGUAACUAUACAUGUAAGAGACGGUACCUAACCAGAAAGCCACGGCUAACUACGUG
rnacentral:rRNA from 1 species